rnacentral:rRNA from 1 species
GUCGAAGGAUGCAAGCGUUAUCCGGAUUCAUUGGGUUUAAAGGGAGCGUAGGCGGCCUUAUAAGUCAGUGGUGAAAUCUCUCGGCUUAACCGAGAAAUUGCCAUUGAUACUGUAGGGCUUGAGUACAGUUGCCGUUGGCGGAAUAUGACAUGUAGUGGUGAAAUACAUAGAGAUGUCAUAGAACACCGAUUGCGAAGGCAGCUAACGAAGCUGUAACUGACGCUGAGGCUCGAAAGUGCGGGGAUCAAACAGG